rnacentral:miRNA from 1 species
AGGAAAGGGAUGGCAAUUGACAGAAGAGAGCGAGCACAGGCGGACAAUUGUAGAGAGAGAGAGAGAGAGAGAGGGAGGUAUACCUUUGUGAGUGCUUGUGCUCACUUCUCUUCUGCAGUUUUUUUUUCUCUAUCCCUUUCUG